rnacentral:rRNA from 1 species
GAUGAACGCUAGCGAUAGGCUUAACACAUGCAAGUCGAGGGGCAGCAUGGUCUUAGCUUGCUAAGACUGAUGGCGACCGGCGCACGGGUGCGUAACGCGUAUGCAACUUGCCUCACAGAGGGGGAUAACCCGUCGAAAGACGGACUAAUACCGCGUACACUUGGGAUAGGGCAUCCUGACCCAAGGAAAUGAAAUUCGCUGUGAGAUAGGCAUGCGUCCCAUUAGCUAGUUGGUGAGGUAACGGCCCACCAAGGCGACGAUGGGUAGGGGAACUGAGAGGUUGAACCCCCACACUGGUACUGAGACACGGACCAGACUCCUACGGGAGGCAGCAGUGAGGAAGAUUGGUCAAUGGGCGAGAGCCUGAACCAGCCAAGUCGCGUGAAGGAUGACUGUCUUAUGGAUUGUAAACUUCUUUUAUACGGGAAUAACAAGAGUCACGUGUGGCUCCCUGCAUGUACCGUAUGAAUAAGCAUCGGCUAACUCCGUG